rnacentral:rRNA from 1 species
GACGAACGCUGGCGGCGCGCCUAACACAUGCAAGUCGAACGAGCGAGAGAGAGCUUGCUUUCUCAAGCGAGUGGCGAACGGGUGAGUAACGCGUGAGGAACCUGCCUCAAAGAGGGGGACAACAGUUGGAAACGACUGCUAAUACCGCAUGAGCCCACAGGUCGGCAUCGACCAGAGGGAAAAGGAGCAAUCCGCUUUGAGAUGGCCUCGCGUCCGAUUAGCUAGUUGGUGAGGAAACGGCCCACCAAGGCAACGAUCGGUAGCCGGACUGAGAGGUUGAACGGCCACAUUGGGACUGAGACACGGCCCAGACUCCUACGGGAGGCAGCAGUGGGGAAUAUUGCACAAUGGGGGAAACCCUGAUGCAGCGACGCCGCGUGGAGGAAGAAGGUCUUCGGAUUGUAAACUCCUGUUGUUGAGGAAGAUAAUGACGGUACUCAACAAGGAAGUGACGGCUAACUACGUG